rnacentral:rRNA from 1 species
UACCAGCACCCCGAGUGGUCGGGACGAUUAUUGGGCCUAAAGCAUCCGUAGCCGGUCCUACAAGUCUUCCGUUAAAUCCACCUGCUUAACAGAUGGGCUGCGGAAGAUACUAUAGGGCUAGGAGGCGGGAGAGGCAAGCGGUACUCAGUGGGUAGGGGUAAAAUCCUCUGAUCCAUUGAAGACCACCAGUGGCGAAGGCGGCUUGCCAGAACGCGCUCGACGGUGAGGGAUGAAAGCUGGGGGAGCAAACAGG